UACGUAGGGUGCGAGCGUUAAUCGGAAUUACUGGGCGUAAAGCGUGCGCAGGCGGUUCGUUGUGUCUGAUGUGAAAGCCCCGGGCUCAACCUGGGAAUGGCAUUGGAAACUGGCGAGCUGGAGUGUGGCAGAGGGGGGGGUGGAAUUCCGCGUGUAGCAGUGAAAUGCGUAGAGAUGCGGAGGAACACCGAUGGCGAAGGCAGCCCCCUGGGCUGACACUGACGCUCAGGCACGAAAGCGUGGGGAGCAAACAGG
rnacentral:rRNA from 1 species